GUUGUCCACGUACCAGGACACUUCUUUCCCUCCCUGGUUCUUAUCUCUUUCCUUCUCUUUAUCUCUCUAAACCCUUGAGUGUGGUUGGUGGAGAAAGUUGACAGCUUUGGGAGUUUGGGAGUGUUGGAGCUGCCGAGCAGGAAGAUGAUGCUAUUGGUGCUGAAAGCAACCUGGUAGAACUCUAAAUUAAGGACUUGAAAUUUGGUGAAGUGGCGGGCAGACUUAGUGUUGUGGUCUGGUAGAGCUGCCAAGUUGAAGUUUCAGCUGAGGGAAACUUGGAAACUGAGAAAUUCAAGUAGAAGUGUUGAAGGGGCUGCCUUUGUGGAUCUGGGCGCCCGAAUUUCAAGGGGACCAGUGGAGCUUCGAAAUUAGGAAUUGUGAGAGGCAGCUGGUGAAGAUGAAAGUGUAGAGUUGGCAAGUUGAGUUGAAAGGAAGGUUGAUAAAGCUGAGAAUAACUUGGUUGAGCAUCAAAUUAAGAAGAUUUGAAGUGCUGAAAUUUCUGCUGUGAUGGAACUUUUUGCUGUUGGAGCUGAACACAGGCCAAUUGAGCAAUGAAUUGAGGUUCUAGCUCGUGCGGGGUGAUCGAGGACCGUGGUAUGGACAGCGUUCCAUAGAUAGUGGACAUCCAUUGAGUAUAGUUGUACCUUGUAUAUUUCAUCUGUUUAUAGUUGAUGAAAACAAAUGUAAAUUAUUCAUCUGAGAGGUGGCAAUGUAAAUGUAUGAAUGUAU